UACGGGGGGAGCAAGCGUUGUUCGGAUUUACUGGGCGUAAAGGGCGCGUAGGCGGCACCGCAAGUCGACUGUGAAAUCUCCGGGCUUAACUCGGAAAGGUCAGCCGAUACUGCGGGGCUAGAGUGCAGAAGGGGCAACUGGAAUUCUCGGUGUAGCGGUGAAAUGCGUAGAUAUCGGAGAGGAACACCUGCGGCGAAGGCGGGUUGCUGGGCUGACACUGACGCUGACAGCGCGAAAGCUAGGGGAGCGAACGGG
rnacentral:rRNA from 1 species